CACCAAUUUUGUAUAAUGAGGCCUUCAAGUCAGUUGGUUUUAAUGGAGUUUAUCUGCAUUUGUUGGUAGAUGACAUUGCAAAUUUUCUCCAAACUUACUUGUCUGCAGAUUUUGCGGGAUUCAGUGUCACCAUUCCUCACAAGGAAGCUGCACUCACGUGCUGUGAUGAGGUUGAUCCAGUUGCCAAGUCAAUAGGAGCUGUUAAUUGCAUUAUAAGGAGACAAAGUGAUGGGAAGUUAUUGGGAUUCAAUCCUUCUCCUCGACCGGGCGAAAAGGGAUG